AAAUGUGUAUUAAUGUUCAUUAAUUAAAGUUUAUGUAAGUGUUUAUUUCCUUGCAGCUGCCAUUUGUAUCUUUAUCUCUUAUUCUUGACUUAUUUAUGAUGUCUGCAAAUUGUUUAACCGCAGUGUUUUGAAAUUCUACUUUGUCAUGUUAUCUGAUAAAUCAGACGCGUCAAACUGGAGGUCACUCCUUCCCAACAUCGUCUAUAGCUAUCAGUAAUUUUGUUAUAGUAGCAGUUGAAACUUUGUAUAGGAUAGAUAUACAUGUUUAUUUUUGUAAUAAGUUUAUUUGUAUUUAUUGACCCGCCAACCGCCCCUUUACACCUCCGAGAUUGUGGUUUGUGCUUUGGUAACGUGCUAUGAGGGCAAUGUAAUAAUGGAUUUUACCCAUUCUUUACUUGUCACAAAAUUAUUACCUGAGUUCUCAGGCAGCCCUGAAUAAAACGAGUAACUAGGGAGCCCUCUCGUCGGGUGAACGAAUCAUUUGUUUGUCCAUUUGACAGUUCUUUUGGAUACAUGUUUUAGUGUGCAAAUGGUUUUUUCACUCGAGGUUAUCCGUCUCAGGUUGCAAAGUGAGCCCAUACCCUCUAAGCAUGGGCUGGGCCAGCGCUCAACAUGCAGGUAUAAAAUUUAAGAGUAGGUAUUAAUAUACUUGAGUUACCUAUGUUUGACAUGGGAUGGGCCAGCGCUCAACAUGUCACGCGUAGAGAGGUAUAAUAUUUCGAAGUAACAAGUGUUCUUCGAAUUAUGCUUCAAGCUCUUGUCAAUACUCUCUUUUAAAGGCUCUCUUUGCUAUUAAGUUCACAUUGUUUGAGGUUUCAUUCAAAACUCUACGAGUUAUGUUUCUGAUAGAUGUAUAAUCAAGCGGCUCGUAACUUUCUGCUUAUGGUCUAAGUUAUUUGAAGUCACAUUUAUACAUCUACACUCUAUCGUCUAUUGCAGUUGCAGCGAUAGAUGCUCGAAUAAUGUGAAUUUAAUUUCUUGAUUGAUAUAUGUAUUUUAUUUAUUUUUUAAAUACAUAUCAGUCAUAAGCAUGUUGCCCGUAACGCCAAUUUUUAUAAUAUUUUAUAUUUGUAUCUAUUGUGUU
rnacentral:lncRNA from 1 species